rnacentral:lncRNA from 1 species
AAAUGUGGUAGCUUUUAAUUAACUGUAUCUUUUAAAUCCAUAAACACAGUAGGUUAUUUCUGUCACUCUCAGAACACAUUUUCUACUUGCUUUGAAAAUCAACAAAUUUAAUUCACAGAGGCAGAACCAGCAGUCGAUCCACAGAAGGCUGCAGCCUCAAGAGUUAAAUGGACCUCCAAAUCUAGGGGGAAAGUGAGGAAAAGGGUAGGAUAGAUGCUCAGGAAGGGACCGCCUCUGUCGCUGCAGCAGCGAGAUACCCAGAAACCCAUACUCUGUGGAUGAAGAGAUUUUGCCACAAGGAGACUUUCCAAAAAUAAAUUGUUUUGUUGUGUGGCUGGAAGUAUUUUACCGGUGAGGUGGAGGUGGAGAUUUUUCCUUACUUUUCAUCAAGAAGAUAAUUUGUAAAUGUGGGAUCGUAUCACGUUAUGGAAAUAAGUUAAAAAACAAAAUCAGUCUAUCCCGGAAGCCAGUGGGCUCUGUGGUGCCAUGCCCUUGGUGUGAGUCUUUCUUCUCCUGCAGUAAUUAAGUGGAGCAUCAGCUUUUGCUUGGUAUCCCAUCUUGUGUGUCUUGGGUCAAUGAUGUUUCUUCAACCGAUCUCUUUGGGAACUAGCAG